rnacentral:ncRNA from 1 species
UAAAAGUUUAAUUUUAGUUUAAAAUUUUAUUUUUCUCAUUUUAUUUAUAUAAUUUUUUUUAUUGAUUUAUUUUUAUGGGUAGUUUAAGGUUUUUUAUUAUUUUUUAAUUUAUGAAUUAGAAAUUUGAAUUAGUUUGGGUUAAAAUUGUGCCAGCAUUCGCGGUUAUACAGUUUUUGCAUAUAAAAUUUGUUUUAAGUUUAAAUGUAUUAUUUAAUAUAAUUUUUAGUAAUGAUUUUGUGGUGAAAUAUAUAAAUCUUUAUAAAUGAUUAUAGGUAAUUUUAGGKUUGUUUUGUAAAUUAAAAGUUUAAACUAGGAUUAGAUAUCCUAUUAUUUUUAGUGUAAUUUAAAAUUUAGGUAGUAUUAGUUAUUUUCUUGAAAUUUAAAAAAUUUGGCGGUAUUCAAAUCUAUUUAGGGGAAUAUGUUUAUAGAACGAUAAUACACGAUUAUCUUACUUAUUUUUGUUUAUUCAUUUUGUAUAUCUCCGUCGUAAGAAUUAUUUAUUAGAAUUUUUUCUAGAUCUAUAAAUUGAAUUAUGUCAGGUCAAGGUGCAGACUAUAAAUAAGUUUAAAUGUAUUACAUUUAAUUAUAAUUAUUUGGAUUUUAAAUUUAAAUUUUAAAUGAAAAUGGACUUAAAAGUAAAUUUAAUUUAUUAGGUUAUUUUGAUUAAGUUUUAGAAUAUGUACAUAUUGCCCGUCGCUCUCUAUUUUAUUGGAGAUAAGUCGUAACAAAGUAGAUUUAUUGGAAAAUGAAUCUGGUGUAUA